rnacentral:rRNA from 1 species
GACGAACGCUGGCGGCGUGCCUAAUACAUGCAAGUAGAACGCUGAAGGAGGAGCUUGCUUCUCUGGAUGAGUUGCGAACGGGUGAGUAACGCGUAGGUAACCUGCCUGGUAGCGGGGGAUAACUAUUGGAAACGAUAGCUAAUACCGCAUAAGAGUAGAUGUUGCAUGAUAUUUGCUUAAAAGGUGGAAUUGCAUCACUACCAGAUGGACCUGCGUUGUAUUAGCUAGUUGGUGGGGUAACGGCUUACCAAGGCGACGAUACAUAGCCGACCUGAGAGGGUGGUCGGCCACACUGGGACUGAGACACGGCCCAGACUCCUACGGGAGGCAGCAGUAGGGAAUCUUCGGCAAUGGACGGAAGUCUGACCGAGCAACGCCGCGUGAGUGAAGAAGGUUUUCGGAUCGUAAAGCUCUGUUGUAAGAGAAGAACGAGUGUGAGAGUGGAAAGUUCACACUGUGACGGUAUCUUACCAGAAAGGGACGGCUAACUACGUG